UGAGAACAAAAUCUUGCAACUUUUCACGAUUUUCCACAAGAAAAUCGAGUAAAAAGUCUUCGUCAUUUCAUCUAUUAGAAACACUGAAAAAAACGUCGCUUAUUUUACAUACAUUCAAACCAACUUUUAAAUCACUGAAAAUUACUAAUAUUUUCAGACGGGUUUUUCUUGGGGAAAAAUUGGUGGGACUGAGCAGGUUACACAUUUUUUGCCUUUGCUCUGUCCCAAAAAGUAGGUUAAGCAUGAAUUAUUUAUUCAAUUUGCUCUAUUUUGUUUGUAAAACGGGUAAUAUUUUUCGUGCAACUUCAUUUAUUGAAACACUGAAAAACAUCGCUUACAAAUAUCAGUGGUUGACACAUCACAAACAUGUCAGUUGUCAAAGAAAAUGGCGUCAGUGCGGUGGCGUCUUUCUUUUGUCUGUGCAAUUUGUCGCAGAAAAGUAAAGAAAUGGGCAGAAUUUCUCCACCAAAAGUUUUUGGAGAUGCCCUACGUGUGUGAAGUGCAGUGGAAGUGAUAGUGAUGAUGGUGUGAAAGGGAUGUUGGUGUUCAGUGAAAAGUGAAAGACAUCCCUUGACUCUUGUGGCUGUCAAAAAUGCAUCAAAGGACUCCAAUCUGAGGCUGGUUGAGUUCUCCGGAUCCUGCGUCAUCUCGAUCUCAGGACAAAUUGUGUCAUCGGUGCCAAGACACAUCAGAAAGUGCAUGUGUGCAGGUGAAAUUGCUCCUCCAGGGAGGAAUUUUGUCAAUUUGGAUGCCAGACAUAAUCUACAAAUGAAGACACCCUACUAAAGAAUCUACUACAAAGGAAGACACCCUGGGUGCUGGAGGUAAGCUGCUCAAGCUGCAGAGAGCUAAAAGUUAUGCGAUCUCAUACGACAAGAUGCCACAAGAGAGAGAGAGGGGAGGAUUGGAGAUCAGCAUUCCCCGUCAGAAAUCAUCAAGAAGAUUACAUUCAUCAUCGACGUAGUUUAUCGAGGUGACCACUGCUGGGAUUGAAGAUGGUUUCCAGACCACUACCGGAAAGAGAUAAAUAAAUUCGCGGAUGAUGGUGUGGUUUCAGGUGAUUCAGGUGGUUCUGAUGGUUCAGGUGAGCUUAAUAUAAAAUUUUAUAGGUUAACCCUUUAAGGACAAGAAGUUCGAAAAUUGGGGAUGCAGAAAAAAUACUUUUUAGUGACUUCUGCGAGCGAAACAUAACUUUAGACGGGCGUAAGAAAGAUAUCUCUUUUUGGGUAACCGGAGUCACCGGUAAUCCCAUCGUCCUUAGAGGGUUAAAAGUUUAUACAGAAAAUUUUAUAUUCGCGUCUGAUCAGUCCAGCCACAUAAUUGAAAAUGAUCAGUAAAAAAAAGGGCAGAAAAAAGUUUAAAAAGAUCAGUAAAAAGAAAUUAAAUUGAAAAUCACUGAAAAAUAAAAUACGGUCAGUAAAAAAUUUAAAAUGAGCAGUAAAAAAUAAAAUUUGAUCAGUUUAAAAUGCAAAGUGGUCAGCGAAAAUUAAAAAGUGGUCAGUAAAAAAUUAAAAUUGACCAGUAAGAAAUUAAAUAUGAGAAGUAAAAAAAUAAACUGUGGGCAAUAAAAAAUAAAAAUUGGUUAAUUUUUUACUGAUCACUUUUUAUUUUUUACUGACCACAUUUUAUUUUAUACUGACCAUUUUUUAUUUUUCACUGAUCAUUUUUUAAUUCUUCACUGAUCAACUCGAAUAUUUCUAAUGCCGGCAUUGAAUAAACGAGCAGUAAAAAGUCAAAUUUGGUCAGAAAAAAUUCGAAAUGAUCAGUAAAAAAUAAAAAAAAAUGGUCAGUAAAAAAUAAAAAAGGGGCAGUAAAAAGUUUAAAAAGAUCAGUAAAAAAUAAAAAAGAGCAGUACUUUAUUAAAAGCAGUCAGUAAAAAAAGAAAAGUGGUCAGCAAAAAAUUAAACAUGAUCAGUAAAAAAUAAAAAGUGAUCAGUAAAAAUAAAGCAUGAUCAGUAAAAAAUAAAAGAUGAUCAGUAAAAAACAAAAAGUGGUCAGUAAAAAAUAAAAAGUGGUUAGUGUAAAAAUAAAAAGUGGUUUACUGAUCAUUUUUAAUUUUUUGCUCAUCACUUUUAAUACUUUACUGAUCACAUUUAAUGUUUUACUGACCAUUUUUAAUUUUUUACUGACUACAUUUAAUUUUUGACUGUCCACUUUUAAUUUUUUACUGACCAAUUUUUAUCUUUUUCAUGACCACUUUUAAUUUUUUACUAUACGCUUUUAAUUUUUUGCUGACCACAUUUCAUUUUUUACUGACCACUUUUAAUUUUAAAUGACCACAUUAAUUCUUUAUUGUUUACUUUUAAUUUUUUACUGACCUAUUUUUAUUUUUUACUGACCACUUUUAAUUUUUUACUGAUCAAUUUGUUUUUUUUAUUGACCACUUUUAAUCUUAUAUGUCGUCUACACAUUAGUAGAAUUUUUUUUUUAAAAUGCCUUUUUUAAAAAAUUUCUACUAGUGUGUAGACGCCAUUACUGACCAAUUUUUAUUUUUUACUGCUCGUUUUUAAUUUUUUACUGACCGAUUUUUAUUUUUUACUAACUACUUUGAUUAUUUUACUGACCUCUUUGAAUUUUCUGCUGACCAAUUUUUAUUUUUUACUGCUCCUUUUUAAUUUUUUGCUGACCACUUUUUAAUAUUUCACUGAUCAAUACGAAUAUUUCUACUGAUCAUUUUUAAUUUUUUGCUGAUCACUUUUUAUUUUUUACUGACAAAAUUUUACUUUUUACUGACAAAAUUGAAAAUUUUUGUUGAUUAUUUAGAAUUAUUUGCUGAUCCAAUUUGAUUUUAUGCUGACCACUUUUGACUUUUUACUGACCACUUGUUUUUUGCCUUAAAUUAAUAUUUAUAAAAUAAAAUGGCAGAAAACAAAUGGUCAAUAAAAAGUCAAAAGUGGUCAGCAGAAAAUCAAAUUUGAUCAGCAAAUAAUUGGAAAUAAUCAGCAAAAGUUUCAAUUUUGUCAGUAAAAAGUAACAUUUUGUCAGUAAGAAGUUAAAUUUGGUCGGUAAAAACUUCGAAUUGAUCAGUAGAUAUAUUCGAGUUGAUCAGUAAAAAAUUAAAAAUUAAUCAGCUGUAAAAAUAUUCGAGUUGAUCAGCAAAAAUAGUGAAAUAUUAAAAAGUGGUCAGCAAAAAAUUACAAAGGAGCAGUAAAAAAUAAAAAUUGCUGAACAAAAAAUUAAAAGAGGUCAAUAAAAAACAAAAAGUGGCCAGUAAAAAAAAUCGGUUAGUAAAAAAUUAAAAACGAGCAGUAAAAAAUAAAAAUUGGUCAGUAAAAAAUUAAAAGUGGUCAGUAUAAAAUUCAAAGUGGUCAGUAAAAUAUUAAAAGUGGUCAGUAAAAAAUACAAAUUGGUCAGCGAAAAAUUAAAAACGAGCAGUAGAAAAUAAAAAUUGGUCAGUAAAAAAUAAAAUUUGAUCAGUAGAAAAUCAAAAUUUGUCAGCAAAAAAUAAAAAGCGGUCAGUAAAAGUAAAAAGUGACCAGCAAAAAAUUAAAGGUGAUCAGUGAAAAAUAAAAAGUAGGUGAGAUUGUAAAAAAUCUCACCUAAUAUGGUCAGUAAAAAAAUUAAAAUUGAGCAGUAAAAAAUAAAAUUUGAUCAGUAGAAAAUCAAAAGUGGUCAGUAGAAAAUAAAAAUUGAUCAGUAAAAAAUUAAAAGUAAACAAUAAAAAAUUAAUUGUGGCCAGUAAAAAAUUAAGAGUGAUCAGUAAAAAAUUAAAAGCGGCCAGCAAAAAAUUAAAAGAGGUCAGUAAAAUAUUAAGAGUGGUCAGUAAAAAAUUAAAAGUGGUCAGUAAAAAAUUAAAAUUGGUCAGUAAAAAAUAUAAAUUUAUCAACGAAGAAUUACGCCAGUGAUAAUCCUAAAUCAGCUUAUAGAGGUGCAUUUCCUUCGGGAUCGGGAAUCUUC